GGGCAGAGCCAGUAAUCACAGGCUUUAGGCCUGGGCUGAGUCCAGCCCACAAUUGGUGUGAACUAUGGAGGAAACGCCUUUUCUGACUGCACAUUGGCUAAGCUUCCUGUAUGCCACUGGUAAUAUUCUUAGUAACUUGGGUAAUAAGAAUACAAAAAGGUGAUCUAGGAUUUUUCCACCACACUUCUGG